rnacentral:lncRNA from 1 species
AACACUCUUUUUGUAGCGACUAGUGGCAAGCGCGCCUGCAACUUCCACCGACUAAAUUUCGUUUAUUUUUCAUUCGGUUAUAACUUUAGUUAUUGGUCUCAAUCUUUGACUUUCUGAACAUCUUAAGACGGCACACUAAUGUCUUUCACAAUACAGUAUAAUUAUCACAAAUGCAAUCUUUCAUUCUUUCGGGACAACAUGGUUUUUGUUUAAAAAGUCGUUGUUUCAAAAGCACUCUCAGAAAACCGUUAUACUCUCUGCCGAAAAAUUCAAUAUUGGUUGCUAUUUUUUUCCAUAAGUGCAAAAUCUAUUUUGGAUCAUGCAGCCGAUUCAUUGAAGGCACGCAGCCUCUUUGAACUUGAGGAUGAGACUUGAUCAGAGUACUUGCCAGUCACGCAU